rnacentral:snRNA from 1 species
GUGCUCGCUUCGGCAGCACAUAUACUAAAAUUGGAAUGAUACAGAGAAGAUUAGCAUGGCCCCUGCACAAGGAUGACACGUAAAAAGGAGUAACUGGAAGGGGGAAAUCAAAGUAU